GUGGGGAAUAUUGGACAAUGGGCGAAAGCCUGAUCCAGCCAUGCCGCGUGUGUGAAGAAGGUCUUCGGAUUGUAAAGCACUUUAAGUUGGGAGGAAGGGCAGUAAGUUAAUACCUUGCUGUUUUGACGUUACCGACAGAAUAAGCACCGGCUAACUUCGUGCCAGCAGCCGCGGUAAUACGAGGGGAGCUAGCGUUGUUCGGAAUUACUGGGCGUAAAGCGCGCGUAGGUGGUUUUGUAAGUUGGAGGUGAAAUCCCCGGGCUCAACCUGGAAACUGCCUCCAAAACUGCAUGACUAGAGUACGGUAGAGGGUAGUGGAAUUUCCUGUGUAGCGGUGAAAUGCGUAGAUAUAGGAAGGAACACCAGUGGCGAAGGCGACUACCUGGACUGAUACUGACACUGAGGUGCGAAAGCGUGGGGAGCAAACAGGAUUAGAAACCCGUGUAGUCC
rnacentral:rRNA from 1 species